UGGAAGAUGAACUAGGAGGGGCCAGAUUGGGGUAUGAAUCUCUAAUUUAGAAGAUGCUGUAUUUUUGACAAAAAAUCAUGCUGGUCUGUGCUAUCUCUUUGCAGUGUGUGUGUGUGUGUGUGUGUGUGUGUGUGUAAGGAGAGAGAAGGGGUCAAAGGACAAUCCAC
rnacentral:sRNA from 1 species